GAGUUUGAUCCUGGCUCAGAAUCAACGCUGGCGGCGCGCUUAACACAUGCAAGUCGAACGAGAAAGUGGAGCAAUCCAUGAGUACAGUGGCGUACGGGUGAGUAACACGUGGGUAAUCUACCUUUUAGUGGGGAAUAACUUUGGGAAACCGAAGAUAAUACCGCAUAAGCCCGAGAGGGGAAAGUCGAAAGACGCUGAAAGAUGAGCCCGCGGCCGAUUAGCUUGUUGGCAGGGUAAAAGCCUACCAAGGCAAAGAUCGGUAGCCGGCCUGAGAGGGCACACGGCCACACUGGCACUGAAACACGGGCCAGACUCCUACGGGAGGCAGCAGUGGGGAAUCUUGCACAAUGGGGGAAACCCUGAUGCAGCGACGCCGCGUGAGCGAUGAAGCCCUUCGGGGUGUAAAGCUCUUUCGGCAGGAACGAUAAUGACGGUACCUGCAGAAGCAGCUGCGGCUAACUACGUGCCAGCAGCCGCGGUAAUACGUAGGCAGCAAGCGUUGUUCGGAGUUACUGGGCGUAAAGGGUGUGUAGGCGGUUGUUUAAGUUUGGUGUGAAAUCUCCCGGCUUAACUGGGAGGGUGCGCCGAAUACUGAGCGACUAGAGUGCGGGAGAGGAGAGUGGAAUUCCUGGUGUAGCGGUGAAAUGCGUAGAUAUCAGGAGGAACACCGGUGGUGUAGACGGCUCUCUGGACCGUAACUGACGCUGAGACACGAAAGCGUGGGUAGCAAACAGGAUUAGAUACCCUGGUAGUCCACGCCCUAAACGAUGCAUAUUUGGUGUGGGCAGUUCAUUCUGUCCGUGCCGGAGCUAACGCGUUAAAUAUGCCGCCUGGGGAGUACAGUCGCAAGGCUGAAACUCAAAGGAAUUGACGGGGGCCCGCACAAGCGGUGGAGCAUGUGGCUUAAUUCGAUGCAACGCGAAGAACCUUACCUGGCCUUGACAUGCAAGUAGUAGAAGGAUGAAAGUCCGACGAGGUAGCAAUACCAGCUUGCACAGGUGCUGCAUGGCUGUCGUCAGCUCGUGUCGUGAGAUGUUGGGUUAAGUCCCGCAACGAGCGCAACCCCUGUGUCCUGUUGCCACCCGGCCGAGAGGCUGGAGCACUCUGGACAGACUGCCUCGCUUCAACGAGGAGGAAGGUGGGGAUGACGUCAAGUCAGGAUGGCCCUUACGGCCAGGGCUGCACACGUACUACAAUGCCCGGCACAAAGGGAAGCAAGAGCGUAAGCUGGAGCAAAUCCCCUAAAACCGGGCCCAGUUCAGAUUGUCGUCUGCAACUCGACGGCAUGAAGCUGGAAUCGCUAGUAAUGGCGCAUCAGCUACGGCGCCGUGAAUACGUUCCCAGGCCUUGUACACACCGCCCGUCACAUCAUGAAAGCCGUUUGUACCCGAAGUCGCCCCUUAAAAGGUGCCGAAGGUAUGGAUGGUGAUUGGGAUGAAGUCGUAACAAGGUAAAGGGCGAAUUCCAGCACACUGGCGGCCGUUACUAGUGGAUCCGAGC
rnacentral:rRNA from 1 species